rnacentral:rRNA from 1 species
UACGGAGGAUGCGAGCGUUAUCCGGAUUCAUUGGGUUUAAAGGGUGCGCAGGCGGACUAAUAAGUCAGUGGUGAAAUCCCAUAGCUCAACUAUGGAACUGCCAUUGAUACUGUUAGACUAGAGUGUAGAUGACGUAGGCGGAAUGCGACAUGUAGCGGUGAAAUGCUUAGAUAUGUCGCAGAACACCGAUUGCGAAGGCAGCUUACGAAGUUACAACUGACGCUCAUGCACGAAAGCGUGGGGAUCAAACAGG